UGAAUACUUUUGCAAGGCGCUGUAACCGCUGAUGAUAUAAAUGAAUGAGGAAACUAGUAGAAGAUAAGUAUUCAGCUCUCUCCCUCACACACACCAACAAGGCACUCUGACAACCCACGAGAUGGAGAAAUAGUACUAGUACUUGAGGUGAUUACAGCAUGCUGUGCUGUAACUCAAAGAUCAGGAUUCGUUCAGCGGGCGUUUCAACUAGCAUCAGUCAUUUGUUGGUCUGCUGACAAAUGUCCACAUUUGGGACUACGUGUUGUCUCCCUGUGAGAUCCAGAGGUGCACCAACCAGAUGAACUUGACCAACUUGGACAACCAUUAUCACUCAAACAAAUAAUAAUCAAGUGUCUAUUAUGCUAUCUGGUAACUUUCCAGAUAGUAUACCAUAAGAAACUGACAAUGUAAAUAAACGGUGUCGGUUGCGUGAA